AAUAUGCUUGCUGCCAAGAAGGAGGACCUGAGCUCAGUCCCUGGGAUGCACAUGAUAGUAAGGAGAGAACUGCCUUCUGCAAGCUUACCUCUGGCUGCCACAGGUACACCAUGUCACCAACACAUACAAGCUAAUGAAUGAUCCUUAAGCAGGAAGGUAAACAACGCCGAGGAGGUCCCUGAAACUGAUCAGACUCUCCUGGCCUCUCCGUGCCAGAGUAUACAGCAAAAGCGGAGAGUCAUUCUCUGACAAAGUGAAGCUGAGCUGCAAAGAAGUCUCCCGGGGGAGAAAAGCUAAAAAAAAAUCUCUUGAGACCAGCUGCCUGGAAGAGGUUUAGACCAGAGCCACUUGGAUAGGACACUUUCUCGUCUCUUGAGCUGCCUGCAGGCUGUACAGUGGGCUCCAGGUUUCCCAGCUUUGUGAACUGUCACCAGUAGGAUGGGCUGUGGUGAUGCAGCUGUCUUUGCGUCAUUUCCGCUGGCGUAAAUAACCCCUCAGGCACACGCCUGCAAUAAAACCCAUUGCUUCAACAA